rnacentral:rRNA from 1 species
ACCCUACGGGAGGCAGCAGUGGGGAAUAUUGCACAAUGGGGGAAACCCUGAUGCAGCGACGCCGCGUGAGUGAUGAAGUAUUUCGGUAUGUAAAGCUCUAUCAGCAGGGAAGAUAAUGACGGUACCUGACUAAAAAGCUCCGGCUAAAUACGUGCCAGCAGCCGCGGUAAUACGUAUGGAGCAAGCGUUAUCCGGAAUUACUGGGUGUAAAGGGAGCGUAGACGGUUAAGUAAGUCUGGAGUGAAAGGCCGGGGCCCAACCCCGGGACUGCUCUGGAAAAUAUUCAACUUGAGUGCAGGAGAGGG